GCGUCGGUGGCACAAAGGUUAGGAUGUUCGCCAGCCAUGCAUAUGGUCCUGGGUUCGAUUCCCGGCCGACGCA
rnacentral:tRNA from 1 species